UGAGGAAUACAUCGGAAUCUACUUUUUCGUGGGGGAUAACGUAGGGAAACUUACGCUAAUACCGCAUACGACCUACGGGUGAAAGCAGGGGACCUUCGGGCCUUGCGCGAUUGAAUGAGCCGAUGUCGGAUUAGCUAGUUGGCGGGGUAAAGGCCCACCAAGGCGACGAUCCGUAGCUGGUCUGAGAGGAUGAUCAGCCACACUGGAACUGAGACACGGUCCAGACUCCUACGGGAGGCAGCAGUGGGGAAUAUUGGACAAUGGGCGCAAGCCUGAUCCAGCCAUACCGCGUGGGUGAAGAAGGCCUUCGGGUUGUAAAGCCCUUUUGUUGGGAAAGAAAUCCAGCCGGUUAAUACCUGGUUGGGAUGACGGUACCCAAAGAAUAAGCACCGGCUAACUUCGUGCCAGCAGCCGC
rnacentral:rRNA from 1 species